rnacentral:rRNA from 1 species
CGNCGUCCGAGUUGUAAUCUCGAGAAGUGUUUUCCGUGAUAGACCGCAUACAAGUCUCUUGGAACAGAGCGUCAUAGUGGUGAGAACCCAGUACACGAUGCGGAUGCCUAUUACUUUGUGAUACACUUUCGAAGAGUCGAGUUGUUUGGGAAUGCAGCUCAAAUUGGGUGGUAAAUUCCAUCUAAAGCUAAAUAUUGGCGAGAGACCGAUAGCGAACAAGUACCGUGAGGGAAAGAUGAAAAGCACUUUGGAAAGAGAGUUAACAGUACGUGAAAUUGUUGGAAGGGAAACACAUGCAGUGAUACUUGCUAUUCGGGGCAACUCGAUUGGCAGGCCCGCAUCAGUUUUUCGGGGCGGAAAAUCGUAGAGAGAAGGUAGCAGUUUCGGCUGUGUUAUAGCUCUUUACUGGAUUCGCCCUGGGGGACUGAGGAACGCAGCGUGCUUUUAGCAUGAGCUUCGGCUUAUCCACGCUUAGGAUGCGGGUUUAUGGCUGUAUAUGACCCGUCUUGAAAACAC